UCACACCUUCAUGCAUCUCUCACUUCCUUUCGAUGUAGAAUAUUAUUUUAAUACUCUCCAUGAAGCAGAAACCAAGAUCUUGAUGGUAAUCAGGAUUCAGGCUAUAUUGGCGAUUGUUGUUUUGGUUGAUUUAUGUCAAAUCAAGCAAAGUGCGCCAAAUGAAUGUUGGAUCCGUAGAAGGGUUGAUAUGGCUGAAUGGCUGAUCCUUUUCUCACCGUCAAUGCUAUAAGCACGCGGGGUCACGGAAAUUAAAGAAUAUGCAGAGAAAAUUUUCAUAGCAUAUCCGAGAUUCUUGUUCAUGGUACGGCAUCCAAGAAUUAGGGGUUACAGAUUUCUGUAUUAGUAUGUAAUUGUUCAAUUUUAAUUUUCAUUUACGAUCGAGUCUUUAUCUCUAUUUUUUCAUGAUAAUUU